rnacentral:lncRNA from 1 species
UUCAUUAAUGGACUAUUUGAUCCAAAAAUCCAAUUAACCACUUUUACCACAUCUCCACAUUUAUCCAAUAAAAUCCAUAUUAAUCCAACUCACCAUUAUCCAAACCAUUUUGCAUUUAACCAAAAUUCAUUACCACAAAAUCCAUUGUCCCUAAAUAAUACUAUCCUAAUACAGCAAAAGGCAAAGAGUGGAAAAAGCUGCUAAACAGAAACUGCAAUGCUAUAAUGUUGUGGAAAAGGAAAUAAGCCAAAACUCUUCCAAGAAGCUGCUGCAGGAAGAACAAAGCUUCACAAUCCAAAGCCGUUAGCUCCAAACGCAACAGUCCAAGAGCCACCACAUACAAGCCAAUUGAAACGCAGCCAUGAAGCUUCAAGCACGAGCUGCUAUCCAAACAAGAACAAACUGCACAAGCCAUUUCGAUAACAGA